rnacentral:rRNA from 1 species
UACGAAGGGGGCUAGCGUUGCUCGGAAUCACUGGGCGUAAAGGGUGCGUAGGCGGGUCUUUAAGUCAGGGGUGAAAUCCUGGAGCUCAACUCCAGAACUGCCUUUGAUACUGAAGAUCUUGAGUUCGGGAGAGGUGAGUGGAACUGCGAGUGUAGAGGUGAAAUUCGUAGAUAUUCGCAAGAACACCGGUGGCGAAGGCGGCCCUCUGGACGGAUACUGACGCUGAGGCGCGAAAGCGUGGGGAUCAAACAGG